UGUAACUUGUGCGAAACAUUUCACCCAAGGUAAAUUCACCCAUGGGAAAAAUUAUUAAUGCAAGUUACCCUUGUAAAAAAAAAGCCAUAAUGCCAGCUAA
rnacentral:lncRNA from 1 species